GGUUGUGUAGUGUAAUGGUAAUCACGUUGGCCUCUGACUCCAGAGAUCUCGGUUCAAUUCCGGGCACGACCU